UACGGAGGGGGCAAGCGUUGUUCGGAAUUACUGGGCGUAAAGCGUAUGUAGGCGGUUAGGUAAGUUACUUGUGAAAUCCCCGAGCUUAACUCGGAACUGCCAAGUAAUACUGCCAAACUAGAGUGCAGUAGGGGCAAUUGGAAUUCCUGGUGUAGCGGUGAAAUGCGUAGAUAUCAGGAGGAACACCAGAGGCGAAGGCGAACUGCUGGGCUGACACUGACGCUGAGAUACGAAAGCUAGGGGAGCAAACAGG
rnacentral:rRNA from 1 species